GUGUCAGCAGCCGCGGUAAUACGUAGGUGGCAAGCGUUGUCCGGAAUUAUUGGGCGUAAGGGCUCGCAGGCGGUUCCUUAAGUCUGAUGUGAAAGCCCCCGGCUCAACCGGGGAGGGUCAUUGGAAACUGGGGAACUUGAGUGCAGAAGAGGAGAGUGGAACUCCACGUGUAGCGGUGAAAUGCGUAGAGAUGUGGAGGAACACCAGUGGCGAAGGCGACUCUCUGGUCUGUAACUGACGCUGAGGAGCGAAAGCGUGGGGAGCGAACAGGAUUAGAAACCCCCGUAGUCC
rnacentral:rRNA from 1 species